rnacentral:piRNA from 1 species
UUUACCAAAUCGGUAUCGGAG